rnacentral:lncRNA from 1 species
AUGUUUAUUUACCUUCCUUUAGGGAGAUGCACUUAUUUACAUGGAACCAGAGAAACAAGUGAUGUCCAGGUCGUCAGAUGAAUGUGUUGUGGCUCUGUGUGACCAGUGGUUAGUCUCUUAUAGCAAGAAAAUUCCCCUAGUCAAUUUGCUCACCUUUGACUUAAAAAAAAACAUAUCAAUUUGUCCACUCCCAGGUACUUGGAUUAUGGAGAAGAGAAUUGGAAGAAACAGACAUCUCAGUGCUUGAAGAACCUGGAAACAUUCUGUGAGGAGACCAGGAGGAAUUUUGAAGCCACCUUAGGUUGGCUACAAGAACAUGCUUGCUCAAGAACUUAUGGUCUAGGCACUCACCUGCCUUGGGAUGAGCAGUGGCUGAUUGAAUCACUUUCUGACUCCACUAUUUACAUGGCAUUUUACACAGUUGCACACCUAUUGCAGGGGGGUAACUUGCAUGGACAGGCAGAGUCUCCGCUGGGCAUUAGACCGCAACAGAUGACCAAGGAAGUUUGGGAUUAUGUUUUCUUCAAGGAGGCUCCAUUUCCUAAGACUCAGAUUGCAAAGGAAAAAUUAGAUCAGUUAAAGCAGGAGUUUGAAUUCUGGUAUCCUGU